rnacentral:tRNA from 1 species
GGGGCGUUAGCUCAGUUGGCUAGAGCGCCGUGUUCACACCGCGGAGGUCACUGGUUCGAGUCCAGUACGCCCCACCA